GACGAACGCUGGCGGCGUGCUUAACGCAUGCAAGUCGAUCGGAAAGGCCCUGCUUUUGUGGGGUGCUCGAGUGGCGAACGGGUGAGUAACACGUGAGUAACCUGCCCUUGACUUUGGGAUAACUUCAGGAAACUGGGGCUAAUACCGGAUAGGAGCUCCUGCUGCAUGGUGGGGGUUGGAAAGUUUCGGCGGUUGGGGAUGGACUCGCGGCUUAUCAGCUUGUUGGUGGGGUAGUGGCUUACCAAGGCUUUGACGGGUAGCCGGCCUGAGAGGGUGACCGGCCACAUUGGGACUGAGAUACGGCCCAGACUCCUACGGGAGGCAGCAGUGGGGAAUAUUGCACAAUGGGCGGAAGCCUGAUGCAGCAACGCCGCGUGCGGGAUGACGGCCUUCGGGUUGUAAACCGCUUUCGCCUGUGACGAAGCGUGAGUGACGGUAAUGGGUAAAGAAGCACCGGCUAACUACGUG
rnacentral:rRNA from 1 species